rnacentral:rRNA from 1 species
UACGAAGGGGGCGAGCGUUGUUCGGAAUUACUGGGCGUAAAGGGUGUGUAGGCGGAGCAGUAAGAUAGCGGUGAAAUACCUGAGCUUAACUUAGGAAUUGCCGUUAUAGCUAUUGUUCUAGAGUGAUAGAGAGGAUAUUGGAAUACCCAGUGUAGAGGUGAAAUUCGUAGAUAUUGGGUAGAACACCGGAGGCGAAGGCGAGUAUCUGGCUAUCAACUGACGCUGAGGCACGAAAGCAUGGGGAUCAAAC